rnacentral:miRNA from 10 species
UAACGAUGUUAGUCAAUGCAAA